rnacentral:rRNA from 1 species
GACGGAGGAUGCAAGUGUUAUCCGGAAUCACUGGGCGUAAAGCGUCUGUAGGUGGUCAAAUAAGUCAACUGUUAAAUCUUGAGGCUCAACCUCAAAAUCGCAGUCGAAACUAUUCGACUAGAGUAUAGUAGGGGUAAAGGGAACUUCCAGUGGAGCGGUGAAAUGCGUAGAGAUUGGAAAGAACACCGAUGGCGAAGGCACUUUACUGGGCUAUUACUAACACUGAGAGACGAAAGCUAGGGUAGCAAAUGGG